CAUUUUUUUUUUUUUGUAUUGAGAAAGGUUGUUGAAAGGCAGCUUGCUGAGAUUGAGGAUAGAUUCCUUUCUUAUACCUGUCAGCAUGUAGGUGAAGUAGAUAAUUUUAACAAUGCUAAAGGUGCGACAUUAAGUCCUGUAUGCCGAUACCGAAAUACAUGCAACACAUUCGGAAUAAAGUAGACUGCCAAAUUUGCUCAUUUUAUCAUUCAAGUCGUGAAAAGAGAGGAGGUCAAUGCUAAUAUGGUUUGACGCUUACUUGAAAGAUGAGAGGAGGUCAAUCUACCGCAAUGAGCAUUCGUAGUUUGUUUGGUGCACUUUUUAUUGAACAUUCUUUUUUUUUUAUUAUUAAUCAUUAAUAGGGCAUCCUAUACCUCAUUUUUGAUAGCUGAAUUAUCUCUUCUUAGUCGGUUUAUGAAAAGUAAAUCAUUUAUGCAUAUAUUUUGUAGUAGCUAUGGUUUAUAAAUGUAAUAUAUUGAUCAGUACCUGUACAUAUGUUAUACCAAUUACGACCACUGUUGACUAUUGCUAAUUAGUUGAAUAGGAUCUUACUUGUAUACAUGUUGUAAUUCGAUUAUAUGAUUCUAAUAAAAAAG